UAAUACUGGAUAGGCAAUUAUUCCUGUAAUGGUUUUUUGUUUAAAUGUUUUUUCGCCUAAGGAUGGGUCUGCGGCCGAUUAGGUAGUUGGUUAGGUAAUGGUUUACCAAGCCUUUGAUCGGUACGGGUUGUGAGAGCAAGAGCCCGGAGAUGGAACCUGAGACAAGGUUCCAGGCCCCACGGGGUGCAGCAGGCGCGAAACCUCCGCAAUGUGAGAAAUCGCGACGGGGGGAUCCCAAGUGCCAUUCUUAACGGGAUGGCUUUUCUUUAGUGUAAAAAGCUUUUGGAAUAAGAGCUGGGCAAGACCGGUGCCAGCCGCCGCGGUAACACCGGCAGCUCUAGUGGUAGCAAUUUUUAUUGGGCCUAAAGCGUCCGUAGCCGGUUUAAUAAGUCUCUGGUGAAAUCCUGUAGCUUAACUGUGGGAAUUGCUGGAGAUACUAUUAGACUUGAGACCGGGAGAGGUUAGAGGUACUCCCAGGGUAGAGGUGAAAUUCUGUAAUCCUGGGAGGACCGCCUGUUGCGAAGGCGUCUAACUGGAACGGUUCUGACGGUGAGGGACGAAAGUUAGGGGCGCGAACCGGAUUAGAUACCCGGGUAGUCCUAACUGUAAACGAUGCGGACUUGGUGUUG
rnacentral:rRNA from 1 species